rnacentral:rRNA from 1 species
GACUAACGCUGGCGGCAUGCCUAAUACAUGCAAGUCGUGCGGAUGCUUCAAGGAGCUUGCUCCUUGAAGUGUUAGCGGCGGAUGGGUGAGUAACACGUGGGCAACCUGCCCUGCAGAUGGGGAUAACUCCGGGAAACCGGGCUAAUACCGAAUAAACAGUUUGUCCGCAUGGACAAACUCUGAAAGACGGUUUCGGCUGUCACUGUAGGAUGGGCCCG